CCCAGCAGCUACAUCAACCCGGAAGUCGCCACUGGCAGCCCACUGGAGCUCAGCAGGUGUGAGCCUGGCCAGUACCUGGAUGGGAGACCUCCUGGGAAAGCUCAGGUUGCUGCUGGAA
rnacentral:rRNA from 1 species